GUGGGGGAUAUUGCACAAUGGGCGCAAGCCUGAUGCAGCCAUGCCGCGUGUAUGAAGAAGGCCUUCGGGUUGUAAAGUACUUUCAGCGGGGAGGAAGGGAGUAAAGUUAAUACCUUUGCUCAUUGACGUUACCCGCAGAAGAAGCACCGGCUAACUCCGUGCCAGCAGCCGCGGUAAUACGGAGGGUGCAAGCGUUAAUCGGAAUUACUGGGCGUAAAGCGCACGCAGGCGGUUUGUUAAGUCAGAUGUGAAAUCCCCGGGCUCAACCUGGGAACUGCAUCUGAUACUGGCAAGCUUGAGCCUUGUAGAGGGGGGUAGAAUUCCAGGUGUAGCGGUGAAAUGCGUAGAGAUCUGGAGGAAUACCGGUGGCGAAGGCGGCCCCCUGGACGAAGACUGACGCUCAGGUGCGAAAGCGUGGGGAGCACCACAGGAUUAGAUACCCUGGUAGUCCACGCCGUAAACGAUGUCGACUUGGAGGUUGUGCCCUUGAGGCGUGGCUUCCGGAGCUAACGCGUUAAGUCGACCGCCUGGGGAGUACGGCCGCAAGGUUAAAACUCAAAGGAAUUG
rnacentral:rRNA from 1 species